rnacentral:rRNA from 1 species
AAUAUUGUAAGGACGUUGAUUGUGCGUCCCUUUUAUUGCGACAGUUGGGAUUGACGCAUGCUAGUGUAGUGCCAUAAGGUAUUGCGCGUAAAGGGUAGGAAUGCAUGAGAAUAAACUAAAGUAAUUUUGUUUAAGAUACAAAAAAAUUAAUAUUCUUUAGAGAUUUCAUGGGCGAUUAGGUUGUAUUGUCUAAUAGACCAUAGCCGAUUAUCGUUAACUGCAUUGAGAGGUAGAGCAGUACCAGCUGUGUAGUAAGCACAGCCGAUCAUUUGAUUGCAGCAGCGCAAAACAUUUGCCAAUGAGCGAAAGCUUGAGCGAACCAAACUGGUAGGGGAACGAAGGAGAAUUCUGUAAACCCUUAAUGCUAGGGAAUAACUAGAGCGUACCUAGAGAGAAGAACGGACUAAUGCUGGUGCCAGGUGCGACAAGUAUGACUUAAUUAAUAGAGUGUAAUCCUCUUACGCAAAUAACUCUGCGUACCUGUAAACUCACAUGCGUGCUAAGCCCCUGGUUUAGCAUGUAUGAAGACUGGGCUAACGGGAAUGUGUGUAUGGUAAAUUAAGUGAAUUGGUGUAAGCUUAUGUGGUAGAGCAGCACGUCUGGCUCGUGCUGUUGAGUUUUCAAAAAUCACAAAAGUAUAGCCAAUACCUAAGCGCACAAUAAAUUGUGAUUAAGUAUGAACUUGGUAAGCCUUAUAGGUUCUAAAUAAUAUUUAAAUCAUAUUUAGAGGGCCGUUCGUAAGAUGGGCUAUCGCCUAGAAGGUAGAAGAGAAAGCAAAAAGCGAAUGCAGUGCUGUAAUGGCGCUGAUAAAUACAAUUGUAUUAACUUGAAAAAGUGCUAACUUGCUUUUGGUGUCUUUUAAUAAAUAUUCUAAUAAAUAUUUAUUAAAUAAAUUAUAUAUAAUAAUGACUUAUAGAAUUAAGCAAACAAAGCCAAUAAAUUCUGAGCAGCUCGGCUAUUUUUUAGCUGGGCUAAUAGAUGCCGAUGGGCAUAUUAAUAAAAAAGAAAUAGUUAUAACUUUUCAUGCUAACGAUCUUAGUGUAGCACAUUAUUUAAAACACGUUAUUGGUUAUGGUAGUAUAAGAAAAUUAAGCAACAAACGCGCGUAUAACUUUGAAAUUUAUAGUAAGCUAGGUCGAAGCCGGGUAGUUAAAUUAAUAGAAAACAAACUUCGGCUGCCUUUGCGUAUUUCACAAUAUAAUCAGCACUUGGUUUCUAAAAUAGGCUGCGUAAAUACAAAGCAAGAUCAAAGCUGUCUGUUAAGUAAUCACUGGUUAGCCGGAUUUAUUCAGGGCGAUGGUAGUUUUCAAAUCAAAUUAUUAAAAAGAAAGACCGGUGGAUUACGCGUACAGUUAACUGUACAGAUUAGUUUAAAAACUGCGUAUUUAUUAAGGGAAAUACAAAGUAAAUUUGGGGGGUACGUGGGUUUUCGACAAGCUCAUAAUACAUACUACUAUAGCAGUGGGAGUUUUAUAAAUGCAAAAAAGUUUAUAGACUAUUUUACAAUAUACCAAGUAAUGGGGUCCAAAUUCAAGGCCUAUUGUUUGUGGGAAAAAGCCUUUGAGCAAGUACAAAUAGAAGCCCAUUUAUCAAGUCAAGGGCUAAAUACUAUACAACAAUUAAAAACUCAGUUAGGUAAUGUAAAAAAAAAUGUAUAACCAUUUAUAUAUAUAUAAUCAUCGUUUGCCUUUGUUUACUCCUUUGGAGUAAAAGUAAAGUAAAAGGCAAAGGUAAGGGACAAGAUGCUUGAGCCGUAUGCGCUGAAAGGUGCACGUACGGUUCUUACGGGGGGGAAAUCUGAAAAGAUCUACCUAUCCGAAUAAGUCUCGGUUAGGCCAGUCGUUCGAGCAAUAAAGAUCAUGAUUGGGCGUAAAGCGUUCUUCGGCGGUGCUCUUUUGUCUACUGUGUAGGCUCUGGAACAACUCGUUUGACAGCGACUAAUAGAAUUAAAAAGUCACCGAUAAAAUGGGAAUAAUUUUUUAGGAAUAUCACUUGCGAAGGCAAUUAGUUGGGUCAAAACAGUAGCUUAGGAACGAAGGAAUGGGGAUCAAAUACCAUUAGAUACGGUAGUGUGCGACUCGUUUUACAGAAAAGUAUUAAAAAUAAUACGUACUGUAAGUAAUACACUUUGUGUUUAUAACUGUGAUUAUUUGCUGGUGAAAAACCAGACGUCGUAGGAGCCGACGAAAAGCGUAGCCCGCAUGCCUUUUGGGGUGUGAAGCCGGGUUAAACGGGAUGAAGGAAACGACGAAUCUCUAGCAAAGAGCAUAUGAUUAGUCAACGAAUCUGUGAUAACGCAUCGUUAAUCUAAUUUAUACAGUUGAGACAUGGUAUAUUACCGACCAUGUUGUUCCUUCUAAUAACUGUCGGUGUUUAGCAGAAAUCUAAGUGCUCAUAAUUUAGUAAUCACGGAACGAGGAAACCUCAAGCUAGCAACCUUUAUAAGGAGAGGGCUAACAGCUCGCUAACUUGAGAGUAGGAUGAGAUAAAAAGCGAAUGCCAAACUGUAAUAGGGUGGAUAUGCUGACGUGUCUCACGUGAAAAAAACUAUACAAAUUUUAAUUAUGCAAUAUAAAAAUAAAAAACAUUCUAUUUAUAAAGAUAGAGCAAUCUUCGGGGCUUAUUUAGCGGGUUUAUGGGAAGGUGAAUAAGCAUACUUGUUAAGUCAAAAGAACAUCUAAAACCCACUAUAAAUAUUACCCUUCAUAAAAAUCAAAGUAUUUUUGCAGAAAAAUUGCUACAAAUUCUUUCUGACCAGUGUGAAGAAAAGGUAGGGUCCAUUCACUAUCAUAAAACUCGGCAGGCCUGCUAUUUUAAUAUUUAUUCUAAACAAGGGCUUUUAAAUUUUAUCGACUUAGUCAAUGGUAAAUUAAGAACACCAAAGGCUUCUCAACUCGAGUUAGUAGUCAAUUGGCUAAGCAAUCAAGGAAUCUCUAUUUCAAAGCUACCUUUAUGCUUGAAGCCUAUUGAUCACGACGCCUGGUACGCCGGGUUUAUCGAUGCCGAUGGAAGUUUUGGAAUUAGACAAACUUUUAAAAAUAAAACAAUUAAAAAGCAAACAGAGUGCCAAUUUAUACUUGUUCAACGAGUGUAUUAUCCCAAAACAGGACAAUCAUAUUUUGAAAUUUUUACUAAAAUUGCGGACUUCUUUUGUGUAAAACUUGGCACAUUAACAGCACGUAAUCCAAAUGCGUUAGACCAGUAUAAAAUAAAAAUCAGUAGCGCGAAGUCUAAAAAAAUUUUGCGCGCUUAUUUAGACAAAUUUCCUUUAUUAAGUUCUAAAUAUCUGGAUUAUAAGGCUUGGUCUGAAGUAGACGAUUUGAUGAUAAAAAAACAUCACUAUACAGAUGAUGGUGUUAUAAAGAUUGCUAAGAUAAAAAAAUCUAUGAACAACCUUAGGGUUAAUUAUAAUUGGAAACAUCUAGACUGCUUAUAAAUAUUACGUUUUUAUAUUUAUACAUUUUGUAUAAAACACGAGGAGCCGUAUGAUGGGAAACUAUCACGUACGGUUUUGAAGUAAGAGUUUCGGGGAGACCCGACACUUAUUAUAACAGUCCAUUCAGUCAACGAUGGCUUUUAUGUCUUGGCCUUUGGCCUUGAAUAAGCAAACGCGGAAAAAGCCCGCCUCAAUAGUACGAGCGCAAGCUUAAAAUUGAAACAAUUAAUGCGUGGAGAUUCAAUAUGGUGGAACAUGCGAUUUAAUUCGUCGCUACGCGCUAACCUUACGCGGUCUUGAUUAAUUACUAUACCCAUGUUUGCAAAAAAAACUUAGUUGGUAGUUAUAGCUUUGCAUGGUCGUGGUCAGCUCGUUUUUUGUAAAGUUGGGUUAAUUCCAUAAACGAGCGAAACGCGCAUGUUUAUAUUGACUAAUUUUAGUUAAGCCUAAAAUGUACCUAUAAACCACAGCGAAAGAAAUUUUCGAGGAAGUGCGCAUCAUCACAGAUCUUCAUGAAGUUCAUGAUCGUGGCUAUUCGCGUGUUACAAUUGAUAAAUCAAACAGUAGCAAUUAUGCAAAUAAGUGCAAAUCUGUAAACCUUAUCUAAACGGAUUGCAUUCUGCAACUCGAAUGUAUGAAGCAGGAAUCAUAAGUAAUCGUUUUAAAGAAUUGAAACGGUGAAAUUUGUUCAUCUCCGGCUAUUAAUAGCCCGUCAAUGCCUGGUUAACAAGUGUACAGGAAAAGUGUAGAUUGUAUACCUAUAUUUGAUUGUAUAUUUGGCAGCCGGGCAUAAGUCGUAACACAGUAAUCGUACCGGAAGGUGCGGUUGGCGCCAUUUUUU